AUUGAACGCUGGCGGCAGGCCUAACACAUGCAAGUCGAGCGGAUGAAGGGAGCUUGCUCCUGGAUUCAGCGGCGGACGGGUGAGUAAUGCCUAGGAAUCUGCCUGGUAGUGGGGGAUAACGUCCGGAAACGGGCGCUAAUACCGCCUACGUCCUGAGGGAGAAAGUGGGUGAUCUUCGGACCUCACGCUAUCAGAUGAGCCUAGGUCGGAUUAGCUAGUUGGUGGGGUAAAGGCCUACCAAGGCGACGAUCCGUAACUGGUCUGAGAGGAUGAUCAGUCACACUGGAACUGAGACACGGUCCAGACUCCUACGGGAGGCAGCAGUGGGGAAUAUUGGACAAUGGGCGAAAGCCUGAUCCAGCCAUGCCGCGUGUGUGAAGAAGGUCUUCGGAUUGUAAAGCACUUUAAGUUGGGAGGAAGGGCAGUAAGUUAAUACCUUGCUGUUUUGACGUUACCAACAGAAUAAGCACCGGCUAACUUCGUG
rnacentral:rRNA from 1 species